UCCGGUGUGGUCUAGUGGCUAGGAUACCUGGCUCUCACCCAGGAGGCCCGGGUUCGAUUCCUGGUACCGGAA